rnacentral:ncRNA from 1 species
UUCCCGUGCAGAGGUGGGAAUGCUUAUACAAGACAAGAAGACCCUGUGGAGCUUAAGUCGCAUAACUCAACAAAUACCAAUAUAUAACCUACUGGAACAACCCGUAUAAGCCCCUGAGUUGUAGUCUUUGGUUGGGGUGACCUCGGAGCAUAAAAUAACCUCCGAAUGAAUAUAACCCAGAUUAACGAAUCUAAGUGUAACAAUACCAGUAAUUGACCCAUCUUUUGAUCAACGGAAAAAAGUUACCCCAGGGAUAACAGUGCAAUCCUAUUUGAGAGCCCAUAUUGAAAAUUAGGGUUUAUGACCUCGAUGUUGGAUCAGGACACCCAAAUGGUGCAACCGCUAUUAAAGGUUCGUUUGUUCAACAAUUAAAGUCCUACGUGAUCUGAGUUCAGACCGGAGAAAUCCAGGUCAGUUCUAUCUGUAAAUUCAUUUCUCCCAGUACGAAAGGACAAGAGAAAUAGGGCCAACAU